rnacentral:rRNA from 1 species
AGAGUUUGAUCCUGGCUCAAGACGAACGCUGGCGGCGUGCUUAACACAUGCAAGUCGAACGGAAUCCAUGGUGUAGCAAUACACCGGAAGAUUUAGUGGCGAACGGGUGAGGAUCACGUGAGAAACCUGCCCCAGACUUUGGGAUAACAAUUGGAAACGAUUGCUAAUACCGAAUGACGUCGGAGAACCGCAUGGUUCACUGACGAAAGGAAAUCCGGUUUGGGAGGGUCUCGCGGCCUAUCAGCUUGUUGGUGGGGUAAUGGCCUACCAAGGCAACGACGGGUAGCUGGUCUGAGAGGACGAUCAGCCACACUGGGACUGAGACACGGCCCAGACUCCUACGGGAGGCAGCAGUGGGGAAUCUUGCGCAAUGGGCGAAAGCCUGACGCAGCAACGCCGCGUGCGGGAUGAAGGCCUUCGGGCUGUAAACCGCUUUCAGCAGGAACGAAAAUGACGGUACCUGCAGAAGAAGGAGCGGCCAACUACGUGCCAGCAGCCGCGGUGACACGUAGGCUCCAGCGUUGUCCGGAUUUAUUGGGCGUAAAGAGCUCGU